CUCCAUCUGCCUGCCUGUCUCAGCUGGAAAUCUCCAUCAUCAGUCAGUGGACUGAUGGAUCAUGGCACUAAAACUCCUCAGUAGAAGGCAGCUGCAUUAUCUAAGGGGGGGAACAUGUUAAACAGCUUGAUGCAGAUGAGCAGGUAACCAUGGAAGUCGUGAGCUGAGGCUGCAGAGUCUAGAGCCAGAGUGUGGAAUAAACUUGGGUCUCAAAUCACCCCUGGAGCAAAGCCCCCAUCUAAUCAGGAACUUCUACUUUCAACUUUACAUGCGUGAGAAAUGAACUUCUAUCAUGUUAGAGAAAUCCUUACACGGCGCCCUUGAGAGCUUUCAUACUGCAAGUCAUCCAUUUUCCUCCCCUCAAACCUGGCAUCGGUGUUUAUUGAAACAAAGCAAAAUAAAACAAAUA
rnacentral:antisense_RNA from 1 species